UACGGGGGGGGCAAGCGUUGUUCGGAAUUACUGGGCGUAAAGGGCCCGUAGGCGGCCAACUAAGUCACACGUGAAAUCCCCAGGCUUAACCUGGGAACUGCGUGUGAUACUGGAUGGCUUGAAUUCGGGAGAGGGAUGCAGAAUUCCAGGUGUAGCGGUGAAAUGCGUAGAUAUCUGGAGGAACACCGGUGGCGAAGGCGGCAUCCUGGACCAACACUGACGCUGAGGAGCGAAAGCCAGGGGAGCAAACGGG
rnacentral:rRNA from 1 species